GACAGAGGAGCCAAGCGUUGUCCGGAUUGACUGGGCGUAAAGCGCACGCAGGCGGGUGCGCGCGUGGGGUGUGAAAUCUGGCCGCUUAACGGCCAGGCGCCAUCCCAUACGGCGCGCCUGGAGCCUUGCAGAGGGCGGUGGAAUUGCCGGUGUAGUGGUGAAAUGCGUAGAGAUCGGCAGGAACACCCAGGGGGAAACCGAGC
rnacentral:rRNA from 1 species